rnacentral:rRNA from 1 species
UGCAAAUUUAUCUUUUUGUUGGUUGUUUGUUGCUUCUUGCUUCUUGCAGCAUCCCGACUACAUAUGUGAGGCUAUGGGAGUCCUUUUUUCGUGUAAUGAUGAGAGGAAUAUGACAAGACAACCAAUUGUACCAUGUGAACACAAUCGCUGGGACAAGCUGGUCAAGACAGGAAAAUCUAAAAGAAUGCGACUAAAAUCAAUAUUUGAAGGUACAACCUGUAUUAUGUUACUGCAGAAAUUAAUAUUGUGGUUUGUUAUUGGGAAUCAUGAGUUUCCUGGCAAUGAGACCCAUUAGUUAGAAUCUAUUGUGCUGGGAUCUUUGCUUCACAUCCCAUAUGUGCCAAGUUACUGGUAGAACUGUGUAUCGAAUUUAUUGUGCUGGAAUUUAUUGUGCUUUGGCACACACUCACUUAUAAUCAGGGCUCGCUUAAUUUUAUCUUUCUAAUUCUUUUGAGAAAUACCAUAUCAAUAUUAUUUGUGAUGACUUGUUAGUCAUAAUUUCCAGUCAUGUAAUAUCCCAUUAUAUUAUUAGUAUUAGGCGUUAGCCAGAUACUAAUCUUCGG